AUUGAACGCUGGCGGCAUGCCUUACACAUGCAAGUCGAACGGCAGCACGGACUUCGGUCUGGUGGCGAGUGGCGAACGGGUGAGUAAUGUAUCGGAACGUGCCUAGUAGUGGGGGAUAACUAGUCGAAAGAUUAGCUAAUACCGCAUACGACCUACGGGUGAAAGUGGGGGAUCGCAAGACCUCAUGCUAUUAGAGCGGCCGAUAUCAGAUUAGCUAGUUGGUGGGGUAAAGGCCCACCAAGGCAACGAUCUGUAGCUGGUCUGAGAGGACGACCAGCCACACUGGGACUGGGACACGGCCCAGACUCCUACGGGAGGCAGCAGUGGGGAAUUUUGGACAAUGGGGGCAACCCUGAUCCAGCAAUGCCGCGUGUGUGAAGAAGGCCUUCGUGUUGUAAAGCACUUUUGUCAGAGAAGAAAACUGUUGCGCUAAUAUCGCGACGGGAUGACGGUAUCUGAAGAAUAAGGACCGGCUAACUACGUGCCAGCAGCCGCAGUAA
rnacentral:rRNA from 1 species